AGACUUUUUGGCGCGAACGCGAGGAGAGAAGUUGUGUGAUUUGUUUUAUUUUGUCUAUUCAGUGUUUCUUCAGGUUUAAAUGUGUAAUUAAGACGGAGGAACCUACUACUUAUCCAAAGGCGAGUGAAAACAACCACCCUUGGAUAUCCCUGGACACAAUAGUAUUUCCAAGAAUCUCCUGAAUGCAGGCAGCGCACGACCGGUCGUGGCGGCAAGCUUUGGAGAGUCUAAGCAGCUUGAGGCCAGCAGUGGACAUCUGUUGGCUGAAAUAUAGAUAUAACAAUUUUUUGUUAUAACCUCAUUCAGAAGGUUCACGCAGAACAAUUAAUACCAGGAAAUUUUUGGGGAUAACCGUAAAGGAUUACCAGUUUCUAUAAUAAAACCCAUCAACCACUACACAUCAUUUUUAUUAGUAUUAGAUUAAAACACACGCGCACAUCGAAUUCAAUUCAAGAUAACUUGAAUAGAUUUGAGAAUGUUUCACUGAAUAUAUUAAUUCCUAAUUCUAUGAAAUACUACUUCAAUACCAAGAUUAAAUACGUUCGAUUAAAUUUAUAAGCGGUAAUAUUCAUGAAUACUUAGCAACUAUUGAGUAUUUGAAACGCACACUUUUCUAAUAUAUCUGUGCCUAUAAUUGAAAUCCUUAAUACACCUUGAUCGAUUAAAUUACUUUUGCAUGUCGUUACGAGAUUAAAUGCAGAAGAAAAUGUUAAUUUUAAAUAGAGGGAAACAAACAAAAAACAUAGACAAUAUUGUGUGUAAACAGUUUGUAACAUGGUCGCGAUCCAGAUGUUGCCAAUGUUGGAAUUACAUAAUCUUGUCGGCUUAUAUCUGUCUAGCAUCUGUGCUCGUACCAACACGCGACCACGUCUCCGCCAGAGCCUCGUUCGUUGAUCGGCAGGGUGCGCCGCGAGCAGGAGAGGUUGACUUUGACUCAGAAGAUCUAGGUAGAGCCACUUACACCCC